AAAAUGAACAAGAAAAGGGGGAUUGUCCCCUCUCUCCUUCUCCUGUCCUGAUUGUUCUGGCUCUUGGCCUAAUUGUUCUGCUUUUCCUCCCUUUUCCUCCUCUGCUACCUUCUCUCCCAAAAAAAUAAAGCUUUGCGCAUGGUUCCAUCUUUCUGGGAGAAAAGCACAAGAAGAAGAGUAAAUCAAAUUUUUUUCACUCUCUUUUUUCUCUUUCU
rnacentral:ribozyme from 13 species